rnacentral:lncRNA from 1 species
UUAGAAAAGGAGGCACAUCUGGAUCCAGUUUUCUUUGAUGAAUUAGCUGAAGAUUCUUCCGAAUCUGACAUGAUGGACGACGACUUGGAAGAUGAGAUGGAAGAAGAAGAAGAAGAAGAAGAUGAAGAAGAAGAGGAUGAUGAAGAAGAAGAAGAAGAAGAAACACUAAUUGAAAAUCCGGUAGACUUAUCGUCAAUGAAGCUAGUAGAACUGAAGGAAUUUGCGAAAUCUCGUGGUGUUAAAGGGUAUUCAAAACUUAAGAAAAUUGAUCUUGUGAAAUUGCUAGAAGGACUUUGAUUAUGUUGAUAUCUGUCUGAUCCAAAACACUAAACAUGUUCAUUUUUUGUGUUCUUAUU